rnacentral:misc_RNA from 1 species
GAUUGUUAUGGAUAUGGAGUAUUACAACAAGCUAGAAGAUCCAACAGAUGAAGAAAAUGAUAUGUUGGAUCUUGCUUUUGCUCUCACCGACAGGUCACGUCUAGGUUGUCAGGUAAUUGCAAAACCUGAACUUGAUGGCAUUCGAUUAGCUCUCCCUGUUGCCACAAGAAACUUUGCUGUUGAUGGUUAUAAACCGAAACCACAUUAGAACUUUUUCUACCAUAGAUAAAAGAUUUUAUGGUUCAUGUCUAACAAACACACGAGUCAACAGAUUUUGUGGGAUGAUUAUACUUAUAGGAACCAUUUUGAUUACUUAUUUACUUGUAUCACUGGUAAUAUUCCGGGCGAUAUACUGGAUUCAUCG